UGUACAGGUUAGAUGAGUGUGGAGGUGGGGGGCUGCACAGGUCGGGGGGGUGUAGGUGUAGCGGGGGGCUGUACAGCACAGGGUGUUGUGGGUGGGGGCUGUACAGAUCGGGGUGUAGGCUGCGCUGCAGAGAUCUGAGUGUUAUGGGGUGGGGGUGUAUAGAUCAGGGAGGAGUGCAGGCUGGGCUAUACAGGUUAGUGGGGGGGGCUGCACAGGUAGGGGAGUGUAGGUGUAGUGGGGGGCUGUACAGCGCAGGGUGUUGUGGGUGGGGGCUGUACAGAUCGGGGUGUAGGCGGCGCUGCAGAGAUCAGUGUGUUGUGGGGUGGGGGUGUAUAGAUCGGGGAAGAGUGCAGGCUGAGCUAUACAGGUUAGUGGGGGGGCUGCACAGGUCGGGGGGUGUAGGUGUAGUGGGGGGCUGUACAGCGCAGGGUGUUGUGGGUGGGGGCUGUACAGAUCGGGGUGUAGGCAGCGCUGCAGAGAUCAGUGUGUUGUGGGGUGGGGGUGUAUAGAUCGGGGAGGAGUGCAGGCUGGGCUGUACAGGUUAGUGGGGGG